GGGAGGGGUCCCUUGGCUCUGAGGCCCUGUUACCCCACCCCUUCCAGUCCCCAUACCCAGAUCUUAGUACAGAGACACUUCGUGGACAAACACACCUCCUGGUGUCAUCACAAUCAGUUUAUAUUUUCUAGUUUUUCGACAAUAGCAGAUAUUUACAUUUUUUUCCAAAUAAGAAUCCUUACCCCCAGAGGAAAAAUUGUUUGGUGGUCACCGAAGCCCAUGGCAAUCAGUACCACACGAAGGAUGGAACCAAGGAGGAAAAGACUGGAAGGAAAUACACUGAAACUCUACAGGGAGCUUUGUUUGGAUGGUGGCACCCACGUUGGAGGAGACUGGCAGAGACAAAGCAGAGUCUUCACUGGCCCCUGAAGCCAUGAGGCCUCCAUGGGUCCAUCCUAAGAAGACAUCCUUCCUGAAGGAGCCCUGAAGGAGGCUGGGGUCCCUCACGAGCACACCAGUUAUCAAGUUCCCGUUUUACCUGCAACCAUCUUCCUAUCACAAUUCCACACACUUGGCCAGUUACCUAUUUUCUCGCAGGGCCAUGACAGGUGAGAAGGGAAGUCCAGUUGCUUUGGUGCUUUGCAAGUGACGGAGCACCGUGG
rnacentral:lncRNA from 1 species